rnacentral:rRNA from 1 species
AUUGAACGCUGGCGGCGUGCCUUACACAUGCAAGUCGAACGGCAGCGCGGGGCAACCUGGCGGCGAGUGGCGAACGGGUGAGUAAUAUAUCGGAACGUACCCUGGAGUGGGGGAUAACGUAGCGAAAGUUACGCUAAUACCGCAUACGAUCUAAGGAUGAAAGUGGGGGAUCGCAAGACCUCAUGCUCCUGGAGCGGCCG